rnacentral:rRNA from 1 species
AUUGAACGCUGGCGGCAUGCCUUACACAUGCAAGUCGAACGGCAGCAUGGGUGCUUGCACCUGGUGGCGAGUGGCGAACGGGUGAGUAAUAUAUCGGAACGUACCUUAUUGUGGGGGAUAACGCAGCGAAAGCUGUGCUAAUACCGCAUAAUCCCUAAGGGGGAAAGCGGGGGGCCGUAAGGCCUCGCGCAAUUAGAGCGGCCGAUACCUGAUUAGCUAGUUGGUGAGGUAAAGGCUCACCAAGGCAACGAUCAGUAGCUGGUCUGAGAGGACGAUCAGCCACACUGGGACUGAGACACGGCCCAGACUCCUACGGGAGGCAGCAGUGGGGAAUUUUGGACAAUGGGGGCAACCCUGAUCCAGCAAUGCCGCGUGAGUGAAGAAGGCCUUCGGGUUGUAAAGCUCUUUUGUCAGGGAAGAAACAGCAGCUCUAACACAGUUUGCGAAUGACGGUACCUGAAGAAUAAGCACCGGCUAACUACGUGCCAGCAGCCGCAGUAA